rnacentral:tRNA from 2 species
UACUUAGUAAUUUAAAAUAAAAAUAUUUAAUUUGCAUUUAAACAAUAAAAUUUAAAAAUAAUUUUCGAAGUAA